UACAGAGGGGGCAAGCGUUGUUCGGAAUUACUGGGCGUAAAGGGCGCGUAGGCGGCCUUCUAAGUCGAACGUGAAAUCCCCGGGCUCAACCCGGGAACUGCGUCCGAUACUGGAAGGCUUGAAUCCGGGAGAGGGAUGUGGAAUUCCAGGUGUAGCGGUGAAAUGCGUAGAUAUCUGGAGGAACACCGGUGGCGAAGGCGGCAUCCUGGGACCGGCAUUGACGCUGAGGCGCGAAAGCCAGGGGAGCAAAGCGGG
rnacentral:rRNA from 1 species